UGUUUUUAGGUCACAAGUACCUCAAAAUCUCAACCACAACUGCAAGUAUCUCAAAAUGCAGCUAAUGUUGCAAUGGGAGAAUCAACUUAAAAGAGAUCUUCAGAAGUUGCACAGGAAGAAAACAGCUCCUGUUACCUCCACUCCAUUGUCUGAUGACUUGGAUGACACUGAAAUUGACUUGUCUCAGAACAGAGAUGAAUCAGAAUAUCAAGGAACAGAGCAGCUGUGCUGGAUAGUGACGGUGAACAAGAAGAUAAAGAUGGAAGAACAGAUUUUGAGAACAGCCUGCUGCAGGGGACGUCUCCCCAGAAAACUCAUGUAGUGCUUGAUGAUGAUCUUGUCAAAGCUUUGAAAGGUAAGUGGAAUGAAGUGUAUGGAAUGAAGCUUAUUGCUGUUCUCUUUAGCCUACAGAUAUGGAAACUGCUCUGAGGCAGAGUCUCCAGCAAAACCAGAAGGAGAGGAGAUGCAGAAAAGAGAUAACAUCAAGAAAGGAGUCAUGAUUGAGAUCAAACUGCAAGAUGAAGGACAGCAGGCUGAAGGACACAAAGAACCAUCAGAAAUGGAUCAACAAUAUCACUGACAAUGAAGCUAUAAGAACAGAUAAACAACCCUAUAAUAUAU